rnacentral:rRNA from 1 species
CCUGACAGCCAUGCUACCCUGAACAAGCCCGAUACCGUCUGAUCUCGGAAGCUAAGUAGGGUCAAGCCUGGUUAGUAGUUGGAUGGGAGACCACCUAGGAAGACCAGGUGCUAUAGGCA